rnacentral:snoRNA from 1 species
UGGUGGUGAUGUCUAAACUCACGAUGGUCUUCAGAUCCCCUGCUGCUGAGGGGACUGCUGACAAAUUCCUGAACCGUAAGA